GUAGUUUGAAAACUUUAUGAUAUCGCACUUCAAGACUCGAGCAAGAAAGAACGACUUUACUGACAUCAAGACAACUUGUUCUUAUUCGAAAAAGGUUCAGCAAUGAAUGCCAAGAUUCAUUUGUUUCUGCUGUUGAUCAUUCUGGGGUUCGCCUGCUCAACGUUAAAGGGGGAUGAAGGAAAACUGUUGAAGCGUCUGGAGAAUCCCUGGAAGCGUGAAAGUUGCACUGGCUAUGAUAAACAUUGUUAUCACAAAUAUCGCGAAUGUCCCUAUGGACACCACAGCUGUAAAGAGGAUUACUCAUGCCGACAUCAUGGAGAGGCGUGCUGCUGUUCUGACUAGAAGACAAGCUCACCGGCCGAAAUGGGAUCCAGGAUAACGACGUCUGCCCUCUCAGCAAGACUGAAUAAAGAUUAAUAUAAAAAAUUUAAACAAAUGUUAAACAGUAUAGUAAUCAUAAUAGGUAAUAAAUAGGAACUUCUCAAGGCCCAAGAUAAACAGUAUAUCCGUAAAUUAGUGA